UUCAAUAGUCUGGUCCUGUAUAUUUGGGACACAAUAGCUUGUCCAACUAUUCUAACUAGGCUGGCGAUAUUUAAUCUUGAGAGGCAGCUUCACAGGGUUACAUUCUCUCUAAUGUAUGACAUGAGUAUCACAGAGUUACUUCUUCUACUACUUCUUACUACUUCCUCUUAAAUUCUCAGAGCUGAGAAAUUUACAGUUCUUAGAAUGUACUAUAUCUUUCUGCAAAAGACUAUUCCAAUGCAUUUUGACAGAGGGUCUCCUAUAAAUUGUGAAUGUUGGCUCUAAUUCUUCACUCUGCAAAAGAAAUCAAGACUCUUCAGACAAGAUGAUCUCCUACAAGACUCUACUACUGUCUACCCUUUUGUUGGCUCUCUGUCUCCAAGCAGCCCAGUCACAACCUCUUUCUUUGACUCUUUCAAAUUGCUGCAACAACUUGAUGAAAGAGAGGCCGAUAAAGGCUAAAAUACAAAAGUUUUAUCGUCCAAGUGGCUGUGACAGAAAAGAUGUUGUGUUUGUGACCAAACGUGGUUUGCAGUUCUGUGCUGAUCCCAAAGAAGACUGGGUGAAAAAUGAGAUUAAAAAGCUGUCAAAGUAAAAUC